CAGGGCGUGGUCUAGUGGUCAUGACUCCUCAUUUACAAACGUUCUGAGGCGAUCCCCGGUUCGAACCCGGGCGUCCUGA